rnacentral:sRNA from 1 species
GCCAGGUGCGGUGGCUCACACCUAUAAUUCCAGCAACCUGGGAGGCUGAGGCAGGGGGAUUGCAAGUUCAAAGCCAGCUUCAGCAAUUUAGUAAGACCCUGUCUCAA